rnacentral:misc_RNA from 1 species
GGAAACUUGAAGAUGGAAUUACAAAACCCGAUAAAGUAUUAUACGAAUCCAUCAAAAGGGGGUAACUAUCAACUAUUGUUAUAACAGGAUGGGUUCCAUCUACAGUUGCACAGCUAUAGCUCGUAGCGGUUGAGCCUUCUGCAAGGUGAUGCCAAACUUAUCUUCCAUGUCCAUGCUCUCUUUUGUAAUUCCAUCUUCAAGUUUCCAGUCAAAGGAAUUAAUAAGUGACCCCAACAUUAAAUGCAACAUUCUGAUUGCCAAUGGCAAUCCAGGGCAAAUUCUCCGUCCAGCACCAAAAGGGAUAAGCUCAAAAUCACGCCCUCGAACAUCCAUAUCCAACCCCAAGAAUCUCUCCGGCAGAAAUGUGUCUGGAUCCUCCCAUAGACUUGGGUCUCUACCUAUGGCCCAUGCAUUGACCAACACUUGAGCAUCUUUAGGCACCGUGAAGCCACAAAUUUCUACAUCUGCCCCUGCUUUGUGGGGGACUAGUAAGGGAACUGCUGGAUGCAAUCUGAAGUUUUCUUUGAUAAUUGCUUUCAGGUAAGGUAACUUAGCAAUGUCUGAUUCCUGUAACAAGUUGCCUUUGCCAAUUAUCUGCUCAAUCUCCUCUCUAGCUCUCAUUAAAGUCUUGGGGUUGCGUAGAAGUUCUGUCAUCGCCCACUCCAAUGUGCUUGAAGUUGUAUCAGUCCCAGCAACAAAUAGGUCCAAGAAUAAACAUUUCAUGCAGUUUGUAUCUAUCUCUUUGUUGUGCUCAUUGAGGGCGAGAAGAGUGUCAAGCACGUCGUUUGCUGGGAUAUACCCCUGCUUUUUCCUUAAUUGCAACCGUUGAUCAAUUAUACGAUCAAACAGAUCAAGUAUCUUCCCGAAAUGAAUGGUCAUGCGACGCCUGAUACCUUGUGGGUCAAUACUUCUGAGCAUAGGGAAAUAAUCUGCCAAGUUCGGUUUUCCGGCCUCUUCCAUGAUGCACCUCACAACCUCCUUGAACUCCCUUACAGUAUCCGAACUUGAAUCAGACAAAUCCAGAGAAAAAAUAUUAGUCGACAGGACAUCAAGUGUAGCUUUGAAAGCUAUUUGGCCAACAUCUACUGCGGCACCUACACGGCAACUUUCUUGAACAUCAGCAAGAAGGUCUUGAAUUUUCUUAAGCCGGAUGUCUUGGUUAGCAUCUAGUUUCUGAUUGGCAAAGAUGUAAGAGUUGCAAAUUUUUCUAAGAUUUCUCCAACGAGCCCCAACAGGUAGCCAAACCACCGAUUCUUGGUGGUGUUUAUGCGCAUGGAUUGCCUGAGCAACAGUUCGGUCAGAGAAAGU